CUACGGGUUGCUCCAGUGGGGAAUAUUGCACAAUGGGCGCAAGCCUGAUGCAGCCAUGCCGCGUGUAUGAAGAAGGCCUUCGGGUUGUAAAGUACUUUCAGCGGGGAGGAAGGGAGUAAAGUUAAUACCUUUGCUCAUUGACGUUACCCGCAGAAGAAGCACCGGCUAACUCCGUGCCAGCAGCCGCGGUAAUACGGAGGGUGCAAGCGUUAAUCGGAAUUACUGGGCGUAAAGCGCACGCAGGCGGUCUGUUAAGUCAGAUGUGAAAUCCCCGGGCUCAACCUGGGAACUGCAUCUGAUACUGGCAAGCUUGAGUCUCGUAGAGGGGGGUAGAAUUCCAGGUGUAGCGGUGAAAUGCGUAGAGAUCUGGAGGAAUACCGGUGGCGAAGGCGGCCCCCUGGACGAAGACUGACGCUCAGGUGCGAAAGCGUGGGGAGCAAACAGGAUUAGAUACCCCCGUAGUC
rnacentral:rRNA from 1 species